AGCUCAUCUGUAUUUCAAAUUUUUACAGGUAGCAUUCCUUCAAUUUGGUUUAUCCAGUGAAAAAGUUGAAUGUGAAGAAAAUACUGACCUCAAAAGACAAUGUGGCAUUGUCUGAAUGAGUAGAAGUAAUUGUCAUGUGACCUAACUUUUUAACUGUGACAGUCAAGGAUGUAAGGAAUUGACAACAGCCCAUUGGUGACGCCCAGGAAUAUUGAAUGGAACUUGUGUUAUAACACAGCUGAAGGAAAUAUACAAGUUAUAAAUCAUAAUCUUUGCAUUUAAAUGUGAUUACUCAUAUUUUAAAAUCAUUUGUUUUAAGUAUGAAAUAAUAACCUGACAUUGACACUGCAAUGACAGGAGAUGUAUGGGUAUUUAAGUAUUGGACACAUUCAUAAUGAGGCUGAUGAUGGAAGGGUCUGCUCAAGUAUUAGUGUCAGAUAGAUACAUGGUUAAAUAUGUAGAUCUUGGAUUCUUGGAGGGUGUGUUUAAACCUGCUUUCAUUGAAACUCCCCCCAUGCAACACUUUGUGGGAAACAUAGAAAUACCAAGUGUCCAUCAAUUAUAUCAUAGGUUUAUAUCAGCAAUGCCUUGAUUGAGUUAAAAAAAAUCAGCGCUUAACUAUUUUACAGGAUUGAUGUCACUUUGAAUUGUGCUUUAUUUUGAACAUUGCAUUUUUAAGCACCCUUACACCUACAUUACUUGACAAUUUAUUUUAAUGAAGUUAAUAUCAAAGGCUGAUAUCAGCAAGAUCUUGGAAGAGUUAUGCCCCUUGGAAAUAGAAAUAUACAGGAAGUAACAUUGUUAAAGAAGUCAUGCCUACAUUUCUUGUAAGAUAUUUAUAAGAAACUUUGAAACAGAUUUUAUUUUUAGUUUUUGCCCUUAGGCAGAUAAAAUAUGUGCACUGCGGGGGGAAUAGGAACUCCCUUCUUUAUUUUUCUUUUUGGACAAAAAUCAGGCUUGAACGUGGAUCAGCACCAGUGAAGAAGAUCUCAACAUGUAAACCCACACUUAAGGUGGUACAUAACGUUUUAAUCACGUUCUAUUGUUAAGGAAAUAUUAAGCUUCUCAAUGAUCAAAAUUAGUGAUUGUCAAACUGCUAUAUAUCCAAUGAAUUUUUUCCAAUAAAGUGUGUGGUUCAAGUUUUUUGAAAUUUUAAUAUUUUUGUCAAAGGGUCAAAGUAAAUAUUUUGUCAAAAUCUUAUGAAAAUUAAACGAUACAAAUUAAUUUUAGUCAAGGUGUUUGGUACCAACUUAAACAUUGAUUUAAAAACAAUCUUCAGUUUUGAAAUCAGAGGAUUAUCCCAUAUAUACAGGUAUAUUCCUAAAGUACAACGUAAAUAAUUGUAAAUGUACACAACUUUUGCAAUGUUGAACCGUGGAACUCCUCACGUCCUAAUGAUUCCAUAUUUUGACAUACUAAAGUUUGACAUGACAAUAGAUUGAUGACAAACAUGGUGGCAGGAUAAAUCUGUGUUUAAUUUUUAUAAAAGCCAUCUAUCUUAUAUAAAUAAAAAUGUCUCAUGUACUUUUCGGCAGGAAAUGCAAUCUACUUUUGGAACAGAAAUCAUCUGAUGACAAGGACUAUUACAUUGUAGGUUUGAGAAUUUGAACCAAGAUGUACUUGUGUGACUAAUUCACUUUUUAAAACAUUUAUUUUAUGAUUGUCAGUGGCAUAGUUUUUGCCAAUUCAAAUCUUGAUGAAUGACCUCAUGUGUCUUAGAAUGAAAUACAUUACAUAAAUACUAUGAUGAACAAUGUUAUUGAUUAAAUACAUGUAGUAGCCAUAAUCAACUAAAAGCAACAGAACAGAAAUGUAGAAGUUAUCGUGUUGAAUUCAGCAUUGAUUUUGCACCCAAACUUAAAAUUAAGCCAAAUUUUGACAGCUAAAGAAUGUCUCUAAUUUAACUGUGACAACCAAAGGCUUAAAAAACAAGAUGAUGUUCUGCAAAUUUGCAAUGAGAGACAUCUACAAAUAUAUGUAUGGAGAUGCAGAUACAUUGAUAGCAAUAUACUGAAAUGUCCAUGACUUAUCAGUAUUUCUGCUCGAUAUAUUUUUUGUGAAAAUAUUCAAAGAUUCCUCACUUAGGACAGAUAAAUUCAAUUUUUUUUUACUGUAAGUUAUAUUUAAUCAACACUCCUCAUUUUACCUUGGUCUAUAGAUGACAAAAAAAACAUAUAAAAUAAAAAUGCACAUUUUUAUAUUUUGAAGUAAAUAACAAAGUAUUUUGACGACAUUUGAAAGAAUCAAGUUUUUGAGGCUAAGUUUGAUAUAAGUAAGUAAGUACUUUAUUUAUCAUAGUAAACAUGUCUCAAUAAAUAUAACACAAUUGCAAAGUUUGUAUAGUCAAUGUUGCACCUGGCCACUUGGACCUAUAAGUCACCUAUUUGACAAAUUUAGUAAGUUUGUACAGUAUCACCGAAAUAGCAAUAAGUGAAAAUGUGCUGAGAUUUUAAUUAUGACUUUGUUAUGUAUGCAAGGGGUAAAGGUGUAUCUACUAAUUUUGGUCACCCCUUUCCCUCUUUUUAAUAUUAUAUGAUUACAAUUUCAAAUUUACAAAGGAUGAAAAUAAAAAAGUUCCUUUUUUCAAUAUAACAUUAAUUUGGUCCUAGAACCUUUUAUUUGACCAAUGUGCAAGCAACAUUAUUUUCAGCAUUAAUUGUACCAAAUAUUGAUCUAAUAUUUUUUUUAAAGAAUAGUAAAAUGCGUCCUACCUUGAACAGAAGCAUAGUAUAAAGUUUAAGAAUAAAAGCUAGCUCUUCAUGGACUGUUCAACGGUCAUUACAAAUUGUCACAUUUCAUCAAAACCACUUGGCACACAUUUAUAUUAAAGGCAAACAUUUGAAGUAAAAGUAUAUAUGUUUAUAUAACUAAGAAUAACAUGAAAAAACUUGACAUGACUUUAUUAUUAACAUAAGUAGUAUAUUGAGUAGGUAAAAUUAAUUGUUAAAACAACAUGUUUGUAGUUGUGAUUUAUUUAAAGAAAGUGUACAGUGGGAUUAAUGAAAUGUACUCUUGUGUACAUGUAUUGAGAGAUGUUUGUGUCAAUUAACUGAUUAAAAACUGCAUACAAAGUCACCGAAAUCAUAAUCUUACACCUGAUAUUAGGAAAACAUUUAUUAUCAUAUAUUGUAUAAGAUUAUCCUUAUGGAAAACAUAUUUAUAUUUUUAGAUGAAAUAUUUUUCCAUUCUGAGGGUCUGGAUGGGGUUACUGUACAGAUUAGAGAAUAUUGGACCAAGAUUUCAGAAAAAAUAGCCAAAAUAAAAAGAACAGAGAAAUAUAGUCCAAAAUGAUAAAAAAUAAAGAAAAAUUGGGAGCUAAAAUAUAAAGAAUAGAGAAAAAUGGUAUGAAAAAUGAAGAAUACGGAAAUGGGGGGACCCCCCAUCCAGACCCUCAGCUAUAAUGUUCACACCUUUGACUUUUAGAAAAAAUUAUCAAAUUAAAAAAGUAUUACUUGAUAAAAACUAUACUUGUGUUGUAUUUUAGGCAACAGAUGUAUCACAAUAUUGAUGGUAUUAAGAUCCAAAGAUCAUGUGUAAAAGUUCUCUAUCAAUUUUAUUAGACACAGGUGUCUUUUAUUGGUGAAAAAUGCAUUUAUGUAAUCAUUUUGUCUAUAUAUAAAUACUAUUGUUUUAAA